UCCUACGGGGGGCAGCAGUGAGGAAUAUUGGUCAAUGGCCGCAGGGCUGAACCAGCCAAGUCGCGUGAGGGAUGACGGUCCUAUGGAUUGUAAACCUCUUUUGUCAGGGAGCAAAGGGCGCCACGUGUGGCGUUUUGCGAGUACCUGAAGAAAAAGCAUCGGCUAACUCCGUGCCAGCAGCCGCGGUAAUACGGAGGAUGCGAGCGUUAUCCGGAUUUAUUGGGUUUAAAGGGUGCGCAGGCGGAAUGUCAAGUCAGCGGUAAAAUUUCGGGGCUCAACCCCGUCGGGCCGUUGAAACUGACGCC
rnacentral:rRNA from 1 species